AUACGGAGGGUGCAAGCGUUGUUCGGAAUCACUGGGCGUAAAGGGCGCGCAGGCGGUUUGAUUAGUCAGAUGUGAAAGCCCACGGCUUAACCGUGGAAGUGUAUUUGAAACUGUCAGACUUGAGUAUCAGAGGGGAAAGUGGAAUUCCCGGUGUAGAGGUGAAAUUCGUAGAUAUCAGGAGGAACACCGGUGGCGAAGGCGACUUUCUGGACAGAUACUGACGCUGAGGCGCGAAAGCGUGGGGAGCAAACAGGAUUAGAAACCCCGGUAGUCC
rnacentral:rRNA from 1 species